UAAACAAUGAUACGGUCAAUUAACGCACAAUUAAUAAUAAUUUAACAACCAUCAAUUAGCACAUAAGUAUUUUGAAAGAAAAAACAUUAAUUUUACCUACAAGUUGUAUGUAUUUGUGAUCUGGAAAGUUUAAUUCAUGAAUUGGAAGGCAGGCAAGACAAUUGGCGGGAAAUGAACAACUGAAAAAUAAUUGCACAAGUACGCUAUUCUUAUAUGAUUUGGUAAAUAUAUAGCUAUGAUGAAUAUCAAUUGUAACAGCUGUGGGAACCUUGACUUAUGGUAAAUAUAUAUAGCACGUUUUGAUUAAAUUACCUGUUGGGUGUAGGG